GACGAACGCUGGCGGCGUGCUUAACACAUGCAAGUCGAACGGAAAGGCCUGCUUUCCCUUGUGGAUUCCGGGUACUCGAGUGGCGAACGGGCGAGUAACACGUGAGUGUUCUUCUCCCAACUUGGGUAUAAGCCUGGGAAACUGGGUCUAAUUCCCGACAGGACUGCAGGGUGGUGCCUGUGGUUGAAAACGUUUGUCUAGUGGUUGGGGAUUAGCUGGCGGCCUAUCAGCUUGUGGGUGGGGUAAUGGCGUACGAAGACGGGGACAGGUAGCCGGCCUGGGAGAGUGGACGGGAGAAUUGGGACUGAGAUACGGCCAAGAAGAGUACGGGAGGAAGCAGUGGGGAAGAUUGCGCGAUGGGCGGAAGACUAAUGCAGCGACGCCGCGUGGGGGAUGACGGGUGUGGGGUUGUAAACUCCUGUCUGCAGAGAGGAAGCCACCUGGUUGGAGGGGUGGUGACGGUAGUGGUAGAAGAAGCACCGGCUAACUACGUG
rnacentral:rRNA from 1 species